rnacentral:rRNA from 1 species
CCCGUAAUCCGGGUUGCGGACAGUGUCUGGUGGGUAGUUUGACUGGGGCGGUCUCCUCCUAAAGAGUAACGGAGGAGCACGAAGGUUGGCUAAUCCUGGUCGGACAUCAGGAGGUUAGUGCAAUGGCAUAAGCCAGCUUGACUGCGAGCGUGACGGCGCGAGCAGGUGCGAAAGCAGGUCAUAGUGAUCCGGUGGUUCUGAAUGGAAGGGCCAUCGCUCAACGGAUAAAAGGUACUCCGGGGAUAACAGGCUGAUACCGCCCAAGAGUUCAUAUCGACGGCGGUGUUUGGCACCUCGAUGUCGGCUCAUCACAUCCUGGGGCUGAAGUAGGUCCCAAGGGUAUGGCUGUUCGCCAUUUAAAGUGGUACGCGAGCUGGGUUUAGAACGUCGUGAGACAGUUCGGUCCCUAUCUGCCGUGGGCGCUGGAGAACUGAGGGGGGCUGCUCCUAGUACGAGAGGACCGGAGUGGACGCAUCACUGGUGUUCGGGUUGUCAUGCCAAUGGCACUGCCCGGUAGCUAAAUGCGGAAGAGAUAAGUGCUGAAAGCAUCUAAGCACGAAACUUGCCCCGAGAUGAGUUCUCCCUGAGACUUUA